rnacentral:rRNA from 1 species
UACGAAGGGAGCUAGCGUUGUUCGGAAUCACUGGGCGUAAAGCGCACGUAGGCGGAUGUGCCAGUCAGGGGUGAAAUCCCGGAGCUCAACUUCGGAACUGCCCUUGAUACAGCACGUCUUGAGUCCGAGAGAGGUGAGUGGAAUUCCUAGUGUAGAGGUGAAAUUCGUAGAUAUUAGGAAGAACACCGGUGGCGAAGGCGGCUCACUGGCUCGGUACUGACGCUGAGGUGCGAAAGCGUGGGGAGCAAACAGG